rnacentral:rRNA from 1 species
AAUCUGCCCACUGAAGUAAAUUUAAAGGGCUGCAGUAUAUUGACUGUACAAAGGUAGCAUAAUCAAUAGUCUUUUAAUUGAAGACUGGUAUGAAUGAUUUGAUGAAAUAUAAACUGUCUCUUUUUUAAAAGUAGAAUUUAAUUUUUUAGUUAAAAAGCUAAAAUAAUUAUAAAAGACGAGAAGACCCUAUAGAGUUUAAUAAUUUUAUAUUUUUAAAUAAUUUAUAAAUUUUAUAAUUUAUAUAUAUAAAAUUAUUUUGUUGGGGUGAUAUAAAAAUUAAAAUAACUUUUUUUAAAAAUUAACAUUAAUAUAUGAAUAUAUGAUCCAUAAUUUAUGAUUAAAAGAAUAAAUUACCUUAGGGAUAACAGCGUAAUUUUUUUUUUUAGUUCUUAUAAAAAAAAGAGUUUGCGACCUCGAUGUUGGAUUAAGAUAAAAUUUAAAUGCAAAAGUUUAAAAUUUUUGAU